rnacentral:rRNA from 1 species
AUUGAACGCUGGCGGCAUGCUUUACACAUGCAAGUCGGACGAGUGGCGAACGGGUGAGUAAUAUAUCGGAACGUACCGAGUAAUGGGGGAUCACUAAUCGAAAGAUUAGCUAAUACCGCAUAUUAUUCGAGCGGCCGAUAUCUGAUUAGCUAGUUGGUGGGGUAACGGCCUACCAAGGCGACGAUCAGUAGCGGGUCUGAGAGGAUGAUCCGCCAAACUGGGACUGAGACACGGCCCAUACUCCUACGGGAGGCAGCAGUGGGUAAUUUUGGACAAUGGGCGCAAGCCUGAUCCAGCCAUGCCGCGUGUCUGAAGAAGGCCUUCGGGUUGUAAAGUACUUUUGUCAGAGAAGCGGUACCUGAAGAAUAAGCACCGGCUAACUACGUGCCAGCCGCCGCGGUAAUUC